UAUGUUAGGGCUCAAUGCUCCACAAACCAAUCCUAGAUCUUUGGUAUUCUUAUUCCCAUGUAGGAGGAAAACAAGCAUGAAUAUUCAUGAAGUGGGCUCUUGAAAAAGUAAUACCUUGCAAAAGUGGGAAAAAAGAUGUGCAAAAACUAUGAAUAAAAAAAAACAUCUCCAAAGAUGUCCUUUUGCUUGUUUUUAGGUUGAAUGUGGUGAUUGGUUUGACAAAGUGAUUGUGCUUAAAAAGCCUAAGCAUUAAGAUAUGGAGAGUGAGAGAGAGGAAAAGGAGGAUUAAUUAGAUUGAAGCAAGUGCCGAUGUUGCUUUCAUAAAUCUUAUCAAAUUGCUCUUAUCUUGAUGCAUAACACAAGAAGAUAAGUACCACAAUGUGUUGGUAUUUGAAGCUGCAAGACCCCACAUUCUUUGAGGUGGAAGACUGUGUCAAGUUGCAGUUCCAAAAAGGGCCAAAAAAAUGGACUAAGAAUGUCUUCUCUUUGAAAAAGGAAUCUUUUUUUGCU
rnacentral:lncRNA from 1 species